ACUCCCCGCCUAGCCGCCGCUCCGGCUCAUAAACUAGUAGACGAUAAAAUUGCCUUCUCUGGCCCCAGCGGCUGGGGAUUUGCAAAGUUCUGAGGAAGGCUAUCAGGGCUGACUGUGCUGGGAUCUCUGAUCCCAGCUAGGACCUCAGUCUCCUAACCUGGCUCCCUCUUCCCCACCCCACCCCUGAGAAACGUUGUUUCUGGUCCUGACGGCUGGAAGUGAUUAGUGCUGCAUGGGUCGGGGGCGCAACACUUGGGAGGACCUGGCCUGGCGGAGCGACUGCAACUGGGAAUAGUGGGGAUGCCACGAAGAAGCAAGCACAGGUGAAUGGACCCGAGGCUGCCCCACCUGACGAAAUCAGAACACACAGAGAAGCUGCCGGGAGACCCGGGCCGCAGGAGAGAAGACCCAGGGAACUCCCAGCUGGUGCAACUGCCCAGGAGGGGUCUUUGUCAGUGAGGACUGGCAAAAUCAGUCGAUUUUGUCUGUCUUUAUCUUCUUUUUAUUAAGCUCCCAUAGUUCAGGUAUGUAUGGUUUCCCCAGCCUGCAGAGGCUCAGAAACUGCCAAGGGGAGCAAGGUGCCCUGACCAGAGAGGGGUCACUCCCCAUAGAAGAGAGACUUGAAGGGCAGACUUCACGGACCCAGCUGGAUCUUGGGACAUUCCUGACAACCCAGAAAGCGCUACUGCGGAGUGAACCGGUCCUUAUAUCUUAGUUUCGUGACUUUGGGGGCGGCAGGCCUGUGAGUUGUUUUCCGCCCUGGACGCUGUUUUGCAAAGAUCUCUGCGCGCCCACCGCCACCCUCCCGGGCGUGCGGGCCGGGAAGCAGCCAGCGGUGGGAAACUCCGACGCCCUCCUCGACACUUUUCUCCCCCCAACUCCCCAAGACUCACUUCUAGGGAAGUCCUUUUUCCCAUCAAGCCCUGGGAAAGACUGGCCAGGCUGAGAGAGGGACCCGUCCUCCUCUGUGCCAAAGGCGGGAGCAAAUCCUGGUGCUGUCGCCUUUGGAUGUGAGUCCUGGAAAU
rnacentral:lncRNA from 1 species